UAACACGUAGGGAACCUGCCCGCGCACCGGGAAUACGCUCUGGAAACGGAGAACAAAUCCCGAUGUACAGGAAGGAGGCAUCUUCUUUCUGUGAAACAUCCUGUAAGGGAUGGGGCGCGGAUGGACCUGCGGUGCAUUAGUUGGUUGGCGAGGGUAAAGGCCCACCAAGACGAUGAUGCAUAGCCGGCCUGAGAGGGCGGACGGCCACAUUGGGACUGAGACACGGCCCAGACUCCUGCGGGAGGCAGCAGUAGGGAAUUUUCGUCAAUGGGCGCAAGCCUGAACGAGCGAUGCCGCGUGAGUGAAGAAGGCCUUCGGGUCGUAAAGCUCUGUUGCGGGGGAAAAAAGGCAUCUGCAGGAGAUGGUAGAUGACAGAUGGUGCCCCGCCAGAAAGUCACGGCUAACUACGUGCCAACAGCCGCGGUAAUACGUAGGUGGCGAGCGUUAUCCGGAAUGAUUGGGCGUAAAGGGUGCGCAGGCGGUCCUGCAAGUCUGGAGUGAAACGUAUGAGCUCAACUCAUGCAUGGCUCUGGAAACUGGAGGACUGGAGAGCAGGAGAGGGCGGUGGAACUCCAUGUGUAGCGGUAAAAUGCGUAGAUAUAUGGAAGAACACCAGUGGCGAAGGCGGCCGCCUGGCCUGUUGCUGACGCUGAGGCACGAAAGCGUGGGGAGCAAAUAGGAUUAGAUACCCUAGUAGUCCACGCCGUAAACGAU
rnacentral:rRNA from 1 species